GAUGAACGCUAGCGACAGGCUUAACACAUGCAAGUCGAGGGGCAGCGGGGGAGUAGCAAUGCUCCCGCCGGCGACCGGCGCACGGGUGAGUAACACGUAUGGAACCUGCCCGCAGCAGGGGGAUAAGCGGAAGAAAUUCCGUCUAAUACCGCGUAACACCGCGGAGGGGCAUCCCUCGGCGGUUAAAGAUUCAUCGGCUGCGGAUGGCCAUGCGGCGCAUUAGCUAGUCGGCGGGGUAACGGCCCACCGAGGCGACGAUGCGUAGGGGUUCUGAGAGGAAGGUCCCCCACACUGGUACUGAGACACGGACCAG
rnacentral:rRNA from 1 species